ACGAAAAGAAAUUUCCAUAUGGAAUAUAUAAGAAAAUGUUAUACAUUUUUGCCAUUUCGUUUUCCUAAUAAAGCUCAUAUGAGUGCGUUAUAUGGAAUAUAACAUACGAUAAAUAAAAAGUAUAAGUUUAAACUUAUGAAUGCCAUUCGCUCUUUGUAAUAAUUUGUAUUAGAAUUUCCUAAUUAUUUAUAUGCAUCAUACCUAAUAAAAUCUAUUACAUUUUAAAUGCAUUUCAGGUGUGCUAUCCGCUAUCUGCAUCUUAUAGUUGUUGCUGCCCAAACCACCCAAAUCCACACCUGACCGUCCGGUGUUCGUGAUUCCGGGAACUGCUGCAUGCUGAAUAAUUCUAUCUAGAGCCAAGAAUGCUUCGGCCCAGGAGGGCAAGGGAAAGUAAACGGAAGUGCUCUAUCCGCAAUUCAAACUGGAGUCUGUUGCACUGAUGGCAAACGGGAACAGUAACAUAUCUGUCCACGAUAUGACGACGGCGCAUUAUGGUGAUUCGAGCAAGCUCGAAGGAUCGCUGUAUGGAAUCCAGUUCCACCGGUACGUGUGACACCAGCUUUCGACCGACUCGCUUCACGACUUAUCGAAUUGAUCAAAUGCCCCUCCAAACUGCGAACUAAUUCGUAUGAUGCCCUGAACAAGACGAUAUCCAGGAAGCCCGCUGCAAGGCCCGCUGUUGAAUGUUCGCUGAAAAAUGUUGACGAGUUCCUACGGGACCCAUGUCCAACCGGUUCUAAUCUGCACGCCGAAAGUGUGUACAACAAGGACACUGGAUUUGCCCCAACGGAGUUCCAUCGUGGACACAUUGGACAAAACGUUUCGGACGCUGUAUAAAUCGACUUGGAAUGACUGACCGCGCAGCCGUCUUCCAGUGCUAUGAAAAAGAUUGACUCCCGCACCAAAUACACCAUGUACAGGACUCUGAUAGGACUGGUGGUAUUCUACGGGCAUGAGAUCUGGACUAUGCUCAAGGAAGAUAGCAAGUGUUCGAGCGUUGGGUGCUAAGAACUAUCUUUGGCGGUGUGCAGCGGAACAAUGUGUGGCGGUGAAGGAUGAGCCACGAGCUCGCUGCACUCUACAGCGAUUCAAGCAUCCGGAAGGUGGCAAAAGCUGGAAUGAAACGAUGAGCAGGGCAUGUUGUGAGAAUGCCGGACAACAAGCCUACGAAGCCGGUGUUCGCAAGAGAUCCGUAUAGUACAAGGAGACCUGGAGGGUAGCAUGCAAGAUCAGGUGCAGAACGAUCUGGAUGUAAACGCGCGGAACGAUCAAAUGUAAAACGCGGCCGACGAUGGAGCAAAUGUGUGCGAAUCGAGUGUUGUAGCGAGGAAUUGUUGAAUCAGUUUUAUUAUAACAUGUAAUAAAUACUUAAUAAAUAAAUGAAUGCUAUGAAAAAUGA